rnacentral:sRNA from 1 species
AAUUCUUCCUAUUCGGGAAGGAUGAGAAGCUUCGACCAAGGUUCGAUUCGAGCGUUAGCGAGAAAGCGUUGCCGCAGG